GACGAACGCUGGCGGCGUGCUUAACACAUGCAAGUCGAACGGAAAGGCCCUGCUUUUGUGGGGUGCUCGAGUGGCGAACGGGUGAGUAACACGUGAGUAACCUGCCCUUGACUUUGGGAUAACUUCAGGAAACUGGGGCUAAUACCGGAUAGGAGCUCCUGCUGCAUGGUGGGGGUUGGAAAGUUUCGGCGGUUGGGGAUGGACUCGCGGCUUAUCAGCUUGUUGGUGGGGUAGUGGCUUACCAAGGCUUUGACGGGUAGCCGGCCUGAGAGGGUGACCGGCCACAUUGGGACUGGGAUACGGCCCAGACUCCUACGGGAGGCAGCAGUGGGGAAUAUUGCACAAUGGGCGGAAGCCUGAUGCAGCAACGCCGCGUGCGGGAGGACGGCCUUCGGGUUGUAAACCGCUUUCGCCUGUGACGAAGCGUGAGUGACGGUAAUGGGGAAAGAAGCACCGGCUAACUACGU
rnacentral:rRNA from 1 species